rnacentral:rRNA from 1 species
AGAGUUUGAUCCUGGCUCAGGAUGAACGCUGGCGGUAUGCCUAACACAUGCAAGUCGUACGAGAGUUUUUAACUCUAGUGGCGGACGGGUGAGUAACACGUAAGAAUUUACCUUCAGGAGGGGGAUAACAAUUGGAAACAAAUGCUAAUACCCCAUAUGCUUUCGAGUGAAAUGGAUUUAUAUUUAUCCGCCUAAAGAGAAGCUUGCGUCUGAUUAGCUUGUUGGUAAGGUAAAAGCUUACCAAGGCGACGAUCAGUAUCUGGUUUGAGAGGACGAUCAGACACACUGGAACUGAGACACGGUCCAGACUCCUACGGGAGGCAGCAGUGGGGAAUUUUCCGCAAUGGGCGAAAGCCUGACGGAGCAAUACCGCGUGAGGGAAGACUGCCUAUGGGU